UACGUAGGUGGCGAGCGUUGUCCGGAUUUACUGGGCGUAAAGAGCGCGCAGGCGGUCGUACAAGUCGCGUGUGAAAGCCCCCGGCUCAACUGGGGAGGGUCACGCGAUACUGUUCGACUCGAAGGCAGGAGAGGGUAGUGGAAUUCCCGGUGUAGUGGUGAAAUGCGUAGAUAUCGUGAGGAAGACCAGUGGCGAAGGCGGAUCUCUGGAGAGUUCCUGACGCUGAGGCACGAAGGCCAGGGGAGCAAACGGG
rnacentral:rRNA from 1 species